AGAAAAAGUGUCUAUUCCCUAUAA
rnacentral:siRNA from 1 species